rnacentral:rRNA from 1 species
GUCUAUAGCCAUAUCACCUUGAACAUGCUCGAUCUUGUCUGUUCUUGGAAGCUAAGCAGGGUUGGGCUUGGUUAGUACUUGGAUGGGAGACUGCCUGCGACUACCGAGUACUGUAGAUU